AUUGAACGCUGGCGGCAGGCCUAUCACAUGCAAGUCGAGCGGGGUUUUCGGACCUAGCGGCGGACGGGUGAGUAAUGCGUAGGAAGCUGCCCGAUAGAGGGGGAUACCAGUUGGAAACGACUGUUAAUACCGCAUAAUGUCUACGGACCAAAGUGUGGGACCUUCGGGCCACAUGCUAUCGGAUGCGCCUACGUGGGAUUAGCUGGUUGGUGAGGUAAUGGCUCACCAAGGCGACGAUCUCUAGCUGGUUUGAGAGGAUGAUCAGCCACACUGGAACUGAGACACGGUCCAGACUCCUACGGGAGGCAGCAGUGGGGAAUAUUGGACAAUGGGCGCAAGCCUGAUCCAGCCAUGCCGCGUGUGUGAAGAAGGCCUUCGGGUUGUAAAGCACUUUCAGCGAGGAGGAAGGGGUGUGUGUUAAUAGUACACACCUUUGACGUUACUCGCAGAAGAAGCACCGGCUAACUCUGUGCCAGCCGCUGCAGUAAAAC
rnacentral:rRNA from 1 species